GCACUCCCGGGGCGUCUCUAUCUCAUUGCGAGAGGAGGCGCACCUAGAGCGUACACGCUGAUACCCGAAAGAUGGUGAACUAUGCCUGGCCAGGACGAAGCCAGGGGAAACCCUGGUGGAGGUCCGCAGCGAUUCUGACGUGCAAAUCGAUCGUCGGAGCUGGGUUUAGGGGCGAAAGACCAAUCGAACCAUCUAGUAGCUGGUUCCCUCUGAAGUUUCCCUCAGGAUAGCUUGCGCUCGAACGGGAAGAGUCUCAUCCGGUAGAGCGAAUGAUUAGAGGCCUUGGGGUCGAAACGACCUCAACCUAUUCUCAAACUCCAAAUAGAUGAGAACUCCGGCUUUCUUGAAAUUUAUUUCUGAAGCCGGGGGCUCGGAUCAGAGUGCCAAGUGGGCCGAUUUUGGUAAGCAGAACUGGCGCUGUGGGAUGAACCAAACGCGGAGUUAAGGCGCCUCAAUCGACGCUCAUGUGAUACCAUGAAAGGCGUUGGUUGCUUAAGACAGCAG
rnacentral:rRNA from 1 species